rnacentral:rRNA from 1 species
GAUCAUGGCUCAGAUUGAACGCUGGCGGCAGGCCUAACACAUGCAAGUCGAACGGUAACAGGAAGAAGCUUGCUUCUUUGCUGACGAGUGGCGGACGGGUGAGUAAUGUCUGGGAAACUGCCUGAUGGAGGGGGAUAACUACUGGAAACGGUAGCUAAUACCGCAUAAUGUCGCAAGACCAAAGAGGGGGGGACCCUUCGGGCCUCUUGCCAUCGGAUGUGCCCAGAUGGGAUUAGCUAGUAGGG